rnacentral:rRNA from 1 species
UACGUAGGGUGCGAGCGUUGAUCGGAAUUACUGGGCGUAAAGCGUGCGCAGGCGGUUCGUUGUGUCGGCGGUGAAAGCCCCGGGCUCAACCUGGGAAUGGCCGUUGAAACUGGCGAACUGGAGUGUGGCAGAGGGGGGUGGAAUUCCGCGUGUAGCAGUGAAAUGCGUAGAGAUGCGGAGGAACACCGAUGGCGAAGGCAGCCCCCUGGGCUGACACUGACGCUCAGGCACGAAAGCGUGGGGAGCAAACAGG